rnacentral:rRNA from 1 species
UGGGGAAUUUUGGACAAUGGGGGAAACCCUGAUCCAGCCAUCCCGCGUGUGCGAUGAAGGCCUUCGGGUUGUAAAGCACUUUUGGCAGGAAAGAAACGUCGCGGGUUAAUACCCCGCGGAACUGACGGUACCUGCAGAAUAAGCACCGGCUAACUACGUGCCAGCAGCCGCGGUAAUACGUAGGGUGCAAGCGUUAAUCGGAAUUACUGGGCGUAAAGCGUGCGCAGGCGGUUCGGAAAGAAAGAUGUGAAAUCCCAGAGCUUAACUUUGGAACUGCAUUUUUAACUACCGGGCUAGAGUGUGUCAGAGGGAGGUGGAAUUCCGCGUGUAGCAGUGAAAUGCGUAGAUAUGCGGAGGAACACCGAUGGCGAAGGCAGCCUCCUGGGAUAACACUGACGCUCAUGCACGAAAGCGUGGGGAGCAAACAGGAUUAGAUACCCUGGUAGUCCACGCCCUAAACGAUGUCAACUAGCUGUUGGGGGUCUUCGGACCUUGGUAGCGCAGCUAACGCGUGAAGUUGACCGCCUGGGGAGUACGGUCGCAAGAUUAAAACUCAAAGGAAUUGACGGGGGUCAUAGCUG